UACGGGGGGGGCAAGCGUUGUUCGGAAUUACUGGGCGUAAAGGGCUCGUAGGCGGCCAACUAAGUCAUACGUGAAAUCCCUCAGCUUAACUGGGGAACUGCGUGUGAUACUGGAUGGCUUGGAUUUGGGAGAGGGAUGCGGAAUUCCAGGUGUAGCGGUGAAAUGCGCAGAUAUCAGGAGGAACACCGGUGGCGAAGGCGGCUCUCUGGACCUGUCCUGACGCUCAGGCGCGAAAGCUAGGGGAGCAAACAGG
rnacentral:rRNA from 1 species